AUGGGAAAGGGCUUUUGCCCUUCACGGGGCGCGGCGUUCCCACUGGUGACUCUGGAUAACUUUGUGCUGAUCGCAUGGCCUUAGGCUCAUCUACACGUGCCGUCUGCCCUAUCAAAUGUCGAUGGUACGUGACAUGCCUACCAUGUUUGUAACGGGUAACGGGGAAUCAGGGUUCGAUUCCGGAGAGGGAGCAUGAGAUUCCGGAGCGCCAUGGAGGUGACAUGCCUACCAUGUAAACGGCUAAUCAGGCGCUCAACUUACC
rnacentral:rRNA from 1 species